GCUGGUCGCUACGUUGAUGCUACACACAGGGAUUCCUCCACGAUUCCUAAACAGAUUAACGUUUUGUUAACAAUUGCUGCAAUCAGCGGUCAGGUUUUUUGUUUGGAUAUAUUUUGUUUGCCACCUGAUGACCUUUCAUGGACCUUGAUGGCGAGCUAAGAUUCUAAACCUAUCCUCCUGGGCACCUGAAAAUAAUCAUGUGAAUUUUAAUGAACUUGUUGAUAUCUUGAAUACAACUAUUUUGUAAUGCAUA